GCAAAACACACAGCAUAAUGAUUUGUGGAAUCUAACCUCAGACAACCUCAAAUUAUCUGAAUCAUGAAUAUAGAAGUCCUGUUUCCAGUUGGUCGUACAGGCACAUUUGGUCUUCAUCAGAGAACUCGUAUGCCCUUUGUCAUCUUAUCGGUGUCGUCGCCUAUAGCACAAUAGAAAAUAGGCUGCACAAAAAGAUUAGAGCUUUUCUGAUCUACUACCUAAUGAAGCAAAGAGCCUUUUUUCUGCCAAGAUUAGAUCCAGCGGACAUUCUCAACAAACAAAGAAACGAACGCCAACGGUAAAGCUGUCCGAUGGUGUCAAUUUCAGCAGCUCUGGUUGGCCUCCACAAUUGCCUGAAUACCUUCCGAUCUCCCAAUCGCUAACGGUGAAGCAAUAGGUCGUACCUUGGUGUUUGCGGAUCUACACCAAAACGGGACAUGCACAACAUGUCAGGCUCGCCGGAUCGCCGGAGUUCUGCUGGAACCCUAGGCGCUACCACCUUCAUGGUUUGCCUCGUUUUGAGUCCAUAAUCACAAUUAACCUUUGGUAUCAACGACGCUCGUCGCUGCUGCAACAGGGGCAGAUUCCCUUCAUUGAACAAAAAGAAACAAUGGCAGAACCAAAAUUGGGGCCAAAAGUUUCAAAGUUAUAUUUUUUACCAACCAACAGAGAAUUGUAUUAAUCACAAAAAUUAUAACCCCAUUAGUAAGCAGGUUAACAACUGGGACCACAAACACAAAUGCAAACAACCAAAACACCCUAAAAAACAGAUACCCAUACAGUUGCAUAUCCCCCCAAUUACAAACCUACACCAAUUUUCAUACAGAAUGCCUCUAAGCUUAGACCUCAUAGAUAUUGACCAAAAUGAUGUCUCAUUUAAACCUUCGAUCACCUUGACCACUGAAGAGGGUGAUCUGAACACCUUCUCGUUUCUAUGCAUCCAAAGGUUCCAAGUUGUGCAAAAAAAAUAGCAUAGAGAACCUCCCUUUUAACACAAGAACCUCCCACAUCUAGGAUGAAUUCCUGAUGUUGUUGUAAUGAUAAAAAAUUGGCAGGAAUCAACAUUUUGACCACAUCAGCUCCUGCAUUUCAGAACAGAUAGCGGGUCAAAAGGGGGAAACCUUUUAGUACCUGUGAAACAGGUUGGGUUGACCUGCUUUGAUGCCGGCAACCACCAUCACCGCCGUCAACUACAUAAACCCUAGUUUCUGCCGCAAUAGUAGUACCACCAACGCCGCCUGAUUGAGCAAAUCUGAAAAUGUAAAAGGAUGAUGGGCUUGGGUAGGAAACCCUAACCAUUAUUGAGUGGCCACAGUGAAAAACCCCCAAAAAGUAGAAGGCAUGCGACGAUCUAGGGUUCAGACGAACGUCAUGCCCCAAAAUCCAUAUGCUUUGCCACAACCGGGAUUCCGAUGAAUGCCAUAGGCACCCUUGGAUCGACGAAUAGUUCCGUUGAUGACGAUGGCGACGAAGACUUUCUGUUGCUCUCU
rnacentral:lncRNA from 1 species